AAGGUUCGACUCGAGCGCCAGCGAGAGAACGUUGCCGCAGGCAACGGCCCGAAGGGCGAGGAGCGAUAGCGACGAGU
rnacentral:sRNA from 1 species